rnacentral:rRNA from 1 species
GACGAACGCUGGCGGCGUGCCUAACACAUGCAAGUUGAGCGACGAACCAGGGCUUGCCCUGGGGCAAAGCAGCGAACGGGUGAGUAACACGUGGGUAACCUACCCCGAUAACCGGGACAACCUGAGGAAACUCGGGCUAAUACCGGAUGUGCUCACUGGACUUCGGUUCAGUGCGUAAAGGAAGCUUCGGCCUCCGUAUCGGGAGGGGCCCGCGGCCCAUUAGUUUGUUGGUGAGGUAACGGCUCACCAAGACCGCGAUGGGUAGCUGGUCUGAGAGGACGAUCAGCCACACUGGGACUGAGACACGGCCCAGACUCCUACGGGAGGCAGCAGUGGGGAAUCUUGCGCAAUGCGCGAAAGCGUGACGCAGCAACGCCGCGUGGGGGAAGAAGGCCUUCGGGUUGUAAACCCCUUUCAGGAGGGACGAAGGUUCGGCGGUGAAUAGCCGUCCGGACUGACGGUACCUCCACAAGAAGCCCCGGCUAACUACGUG